rnacentral:rRNA from 1 species
UGGGGAAUCUUGGACAAUGGGGGCAACCCUGAUCCAGCCAUGCCGCGUGAGUGAUGAAGGCCUUAGGGUCGUAAAGCUCUUUCGCCUGUGAAGAUAAUGACGGUAGCAGGUAAAGAAACCCCGGCUAACUCCGUGCCAGCAGCCGCGGUAAUACGGAGGGGGUUAGCGUUGUUCGGAAUUACUGGGCGUAAAGCGCACGUAGGCGGACCAGAAAGUUGGGGGUGAAAUCCCGGGGGCUCAACCCCGGAACUGCCUCCAAAACUAUUGGUCUAGAGUUCGAGAGAGGUGAGUGGAAUUCCAAGUGUAGAGGUGAAAUUCGUAGAUAUUCGGUGGAACACCAGUGGCGAAGGCGACUCGCUGGUCCGGUACUGACGCUGAGGUGCGAAAGCGUGGGGGAGCAAACAGGAUUAGAUACCCUGGUAGUCCACGCCGUAAACGAUGAGUGCUAGUCGUCGGCAGGCAUGCCUGUCGGUGACGCAGCUAACGCAUUAAGCACUCCGCCUGGGGAGUACGGCCGCAGGUUAAAAC